GAGGGGAGGCGCUUGCUGCAGAUUACUGUCUACAUUUUUAAUUUUCUCAUGUUUUUGGUAUGAAGCGCCGUCUCUUGAAUAUGUUAUUAUCUGGCAUCCACCUGCUUUUACCAAUGUAGUUUAUUGAUUGUUGAAACCGCAUUUGAGAAAUCUCCCUACAUUUACAGAGAAAGGCCACGCCAUGGUGCGACCUCCAGCACAGAUUGUUAUGUGCAAUAUGCAUGGAAAUGUAUACCCUCAGAAAGGUCUUUGGCCUGGUUGUUAGAAAAGGCAGGUUAAGGCAAGUUAAAAGAUAGCGUAGAAAAUAAAAUAUUGGAAAAUGCGUAUAUAGGGUUACCACUCAGACAUAAGCGGGUAAUUAUCCUAUAUAGACCAACCAUCUAGAGUUUGUAGAGGAGCCCAAUGUACUGUAAGAGGGGGCAGUCGCAGCUUAACAUCAUGGUUAUAAACAAGAAUGAGGAAGGGAAGACGGACCAUGAAUCAUCUUAAACCAUAAACCGAUUAAUGUCACGACUCCAGACGAAUCAGUUGACACGACAUCGGCGAAGAACAUCAAACACUGACAUCAGAUCUCAUAUCUUUAUCUGCCUGCAGAUUACAGUUUGUGUCUUUUAGUUGUCUGCCUUCUACCACUGAUGAAUGAUGAAGCACUUCAGGGCGUGGGAGUCUGCAGGCGGGGAAAGACUGAACUCUUUACUGGAAAAGGGCAUAAACAAGGCGCUCUAAUGGCAAAACCUCGCUGGUGUUGAUGCAUGAAAGUGAGAAGUGAGAAGAGACACAGAAGAGGAGAGCGGAGUGUUUAUUUUAGCAAUAAGCUCUUGUCUUCACGGUGUCUGCUUCCAGCUGGGUCCUUCUGUUCCUCUGCAUGUACACAGUGCAUUUAAUCAAAAAAUGUACCUUGUUUUGGAGUUGCCAAAAUGCCUUCUGGGACUGAGCGGUGUUGGCUUCGUGGAGAUGGACUGAUUGCUUAUCCAAACCACGGGCCAAGUGCAAUCAAUGUGUUUACUUUACUGCUCAUCUUGGAUGAUGACCUCAGACCGAGACAGAGUCCAACAGAAAAAGAUUUUAGUGACAUUAAGUCCUUCAUUCUCACACUCUUGUCACAGCGAAGGGAAAGCACGCUAAUGGCACAUGAUUAAAAACUUUGCUCGGCCAUCACAACAAUUUGAUACUUGUGAAAUUGACAGUGUAACAUAUUGUUGUACUAUUUCACAGGACUUUCUUUUUCACUUGACCCGUCAUCAGGGCCGGUAUUUACCCCGCUUUGUUUUCUCACUGUAGACACGUUUAAUUGACCACAUGUUGUCCAUUCAUCUUGUUGAAAAAAGUAAUAGUGCUCAUGACAUCCUUUGAGUAAUGGCAUAUGUAAAUUCAAGUGAAGUUCAGUUUGAAUACUACGUGCCAAGGAUACGAACCGGUUUACUCGUAGCAUUCGUCACUGACUAUUUAUCAGACUGCUCUGUACUUUCGUGGUGCUUUGGACAACCAAACUGAUUUGCAUGUGUAAAAUUGAAUUUCAGUUAGACUUUAAGCUAGGUAGGUGCGAUGCACUUAAAAGGUAUGAUUACGAUAUUGAUUAAUAUGCACCAGUCUUCGGGCGGGUAAUUCUUUAUCAAUGACUUGUGCAAGAUUAGGUUGGAAAGAUUGAUCAGCUGAAGGAAAAAACACCUUGGUUACUUUCCCUCGGGGCACAUUGUCCUCCACAGCUUCCAUCCAUUUAACUUUUAUGACCACAGUGAUGUAAAUGUGCAGUACAGAUACAUAUACAUAUAAUUAAUAAAGUCUGACAUGGAUAGCAGAACCGGCACUCCAUGGCCGCUUGGAACAAACUGUGUCAGUUUUUGACAACAAUGGAUGUUGUGCUCUUGGCAUGUUCGUUUGCAUUUUGUCUGUGAAAUUAUUAAGCAAAUGUGUGGUUCAGCAAUUAGUCAAGAAGAGGUAAAAAAAAUCCCCUUUUCAAAUUUUAAUAAAUCAAUUAAAAAACGGCUAUUAAAGUUGUAACUUUCUUCAAACAACUGCAAUGACUGCAUCGGUGAGCACACUGGUUCCCGAUAGGAAAAGUCACAGGUUGGAGAUGUAGAUGUUGUAACAGGUAGACAAUGUGGAGAAAAACACUGUUCAAUGCAAACUCAAGUGACUGUGCGCCUCGGCUGAAAAAGUGAAAGGGAGACGGCACUUGGGGGAGUUUAUUUCAGGAGCGUGGCUCCAAGGACAUUGAUUUUGUCUGCCUCCAAACUUUGUGUGGCAAUGCUAAGAGGGAAGAUCUGUAUUUUACUAUUAUAAAGCCAACAACGGCACCAAGGGAAUUUCACCCCAGGAAUUAACAAGGACCACCUGUCUAUGGUCAAUGACAGGACACAGGUUCGGACAACACAGGCACUGGACGUGAUUCAAUGAACAAAAUUAUACAAGUUUAUUUUAAUAUCAAAUUAUUUUCUUAAAAUACAGUCACAAUCACAAAGUUCAAUAAAAUCUCUCAGGUUCUCGGUCAUUCAGGUUACCAUGGAAUGCAAUGUACAGGAGGGGGCUGAGACUGAGGGCUCACUGGCAGAGAUGACUUGCUGAGGGGGAAAGGAGGCUAAUGUUCCACCACACGUGAAAAACAAACCACACACCAACUAUUGACACCGAGGUGCACUGCAACAAAAAAAUGAAGGGAACCACCACCACCGGGAUCACCCUGUCACUCCUACCAGUGGCACCAACAGUCUCAGCCUCCUCCUGUAUGUUGCAUCCCAUGGUAACCUGAAUGACUGAGUCCCUGAGAAAGAUUUUAUUGAACUCUGUGACCGUGCCUGUAUUUUAGAAAAUAAUUUGAUAUUAAAAUAAACUUGUAUAAUUUUCUUUAUAGAAUCACGUCGAGUACCUGUGUUGUCCGAACCUGUGUUGUCCGAACCUGUGUCCUGUCAUUGACCAUAGACUGGUGGUCCCUGUUAAUUCCUGGGGUGAAAUUCCCUGAGGUGGCGUUGUUGGCUUUUAACCGUAAAAUACAGAUCUUCCCUCUUAGCAUUGCCACAUUUGUUUUGCGACGUGGACCCCCCAGGUGUUCCUCACAAACAUGUGUCUCUCUCUCUCUCUUACCUUUUUCACAAGAUGAAAGAAUGGGUCAUUUAUGGUUUACAAAGUAUGAACACGAUAUUAUUUUGGCUUGGUAUUCCAAGCAACUCCAUUUAAAGGGGAACUAUGACUAUGUGGUUGAAUGUUGACUCUAGGCUUAAGUACAAUGACACAGAGCAGGGAACCCAAACAUCUGGAGAGUCGAACCAAAGCGUUUUUAUGACCAAACAGAAGAAUGUUCAUGACCUGCCAAGUGCAGACCUGGUAGAACAUCAGCAGGAAACUGCUCAUGUCUGUGGGUCACAGCUGCUUUUAGUUUGCUUUGACAAAGUCAUGAUGACCUGUAAAGAUAUUUCCACAAUUUAUUAAAUUCAGUUUAAUGUCUACUUUUAAUUCUAUUGGCUGAAAAACAAUUAUUUUUUAAAUCCCCAUUAACCACAUCCAACCUGGCAACCAAAAACAAAGCUAAAGUGACCUUCUGGCAUCUUACAAAAUAAUUGCGCAACGUUGACAUUUGUUGUCCUAUUUUGUUUUACAAACGUGGACAGUCGAGUCCAUGGUGAUGGAGGCUGAUCUGGAGUCUGGUGCUUUGGCACCUGAUGCCUCUGCACCUCUUGCCAGACGGCAGCAGGGCGAACAGGCUGUGGCGAGCAUUGUCCUUUAAUCACAGCUCUCUACCAGCAGUGUUCUGGGCGGUUCUAAUCACCCAGUGUAGAGGCCUCCAUGACUUGGCCAUGCACAUGCCAUCUCGCAUUGUACCCUCUCCAGUCAGGAUGCUUUCGAUAAGGUCGCUUUCUUCAGCUAAGAGUAGAAACCAGAAAAUGAGCUUCUUUUUUUCAAGAGCUAGUAGAGACCGAGAUACCAACAUAUAAAGGCAAGAGAGUACAACCGAUAGGGCAGGAGAAGGUGGACCUUCCAACAUCUUUCCAUUCUCAGAAGCUUGUUUCCUCUGCAUACUACAGUCAAAGACAACGACUUGAAUGCUUCAACAUCUGGCUUCUAAACAUCAAGAUGUAAUCUGUGUAUCAAAGGAAACCACAUAGAAUAAAGAGCACUCCCUCAUGGUGCUCAGGCUCAGCACUCAAGCUGUACUACGGCAGCAUUGCAUGUCAGAGAGGCCCCAACGGCCUCAAAGGGCACACGUCGGAGGACUUCAAUACUCAAAAAGACAAUGUUUUCUUAUGCUGCAUUUAAAAAAGGUUGCUACAUUCAAAAAUGAAUAUCACUUGUAAUUUAAAAUUAAAAAAACAAUGAAUUCAAGGCUUUCUGAAGUCUAUUGGCGUAGACUGGUUUUAGCCAGCCAGGGGUUGUUAAUGUUUUCUCUCUGUUCCUCAAGCACAGAGCAGUGUCAAGAUAAUGGCAACAGAUUAAAUGGAUUCAUCUCUACUUCAAAGCCAGGGCUCUACACAGCCACUGAAGUGCUGUUGGCAGCUGUCGAAAAAAAGCCUUGCUUGAAUUCGUUGUCAGAAGUCGAAAACGCAGGCGUGGAUGCGAGACCAGAGGCCGGGUGUGUGAGGGAGGGACAAACACUGAAGAAGUUACACUUUGUCCUGUUUUAUGGAACUUCAGAUCAAGGUAAAUUAAGAAAAGCGUGUGUUCAAAGUAGCAGAGGAUCCAGAUGAGUGUCAGCAGUUAAAGAUUUAUUGGUCUGCCACAGAGUUAGAUAGCGCAAAGCUAAAAGCACUAGUAGGGAGUAACAGGCUGACGGGUGACAUUUACUGACAGUAGGUGAUCCGGACAGCAAAGGAUCAAUAGCAGAUUAGAUAUUUAUCCUUCAGAAAUGUUUUUUUUCAGAGCAGCAUUUUUAGCACUUUAAAUCCUAUUUCCUACUAUCCUAAUCCUAUAUUAAGAAAAGCUUGCAUGGAUAAAAUAGAACUUAACAGCAGGUAACACACUAUUUUCUACUGCAAGAGCCAUUGUGAUUAGUGCCUUUCUAGCAGCCUGGUGCGUUGCUUCAUGCAAAAACAUUAGAAAUCAAAAAAACACCUCAGUGAAAACUUAUUGUCAAUUAAUAGUUUAUUUCAUUAGAUAUAUAAUAUGGAUGAACUGAAAAGAAUAGAGAAAAAAAGAACCUUCCAGAUACAUUCCUCUUUGUCAGUGUCCUUGUCUCAGAUAAAGUGUCUUCAGCCGUUUCUCUUGGUUACUUAGCAUAUAUCUCUGGUCUAAAGCCAUUAAUCAGGAGCUUUCCAGGGGAGCUGCUGCCCUUUUUGGUCACACCGGGACAGAAACAGCGGCCAAAGACCAUAGCCAAUAUUAGUAAUGCACACUCAGUGUGAGUGUGUUUAAAUGCACCUGGUUGGUUUCUGUGUGCAACUCACGUAGUAUGUCAUCAGGUUAGGUGCACAAUGACUAGAACGAGCAACAAAGUCCACUUCGGGUGGGAAAACAAACAGCAGGAGGAUGGUGCUCAUGUUCAACGAGAAGGUGUUCAUUCACACUUUACUAUAUAACAGAGUCAGCUAAGGAGGGGUGGUUGUUUGUGAAAGUGUUGUUACGCUACGUUGUUCUGACACAAACCAUACCAACCAUGUUUUUCAAACCUUAACUGACUGGGUUUUGAGGUCAUAUGAUAAUCAAGAUGUUUGUGAGUUGAUGUUGAUAAUCUUGUGGUGCCAAAGAUGAUGUUUAUCUUCCAACUCUUCCUGCUCCGAAGAUGAAGGCUUGGCACACAACCUGUAUGUGUGUCAACCCUAAAUAUACUGUUUUGAUGAUUUUACACCGGGGUCAAGUAACAAUAUGCAACAACUUUUUCACAAAUAAAAAAUAAUACAUUUUAAAAAUGACAACAUCCACUAGAUAUCAGGAGCGUACAACAACAGCUGCAGUUGAUGGGGCACACCUGAAGGCCCUAUGAUCUCUUUUUUGGUUUGCAUAACUCAAAAGGGAGGUUGAAAGUCAUUGAAGGUUUGCGGUUCCUCAGUAGUCUCUGUGAGGAUUUGUGUAGUUUGUUGUUUUCGUCUCUCCUCCUCCCCUUCUGUUUCCCUUUGCAGUUGCUGUGAGCGCUAGGGGGCGUGGCUGGUUCCCUGCAGCGGUUGAGGCGCACCUGCGCCCAAUACUAAUCAUCCCCACUAUAAGGAUCUGGUCCGCUCAACAAGCCGGCGCCGGAUUAUUCCACCCAUAGACCUCGAACCUCCGUGUGCCUCUUCGCUCGGCUGUCAUCCUCGCCUCUCCGCGGAUCCUCCUGCCCGCCUGCACCUGCCCCCAGUCAAUAAACUGUAGCUUUUUUUCGUACCUGCUCCUCCGUGUCUGUUUUGGGGUCCGACCACCACCACUAACCCUAACAGUCUCCGACUCAGAAAAUAGAAUUGGAAAAUGCAGGUGCAGGCUUCCGGUAACCUACGAGUGCAGUAUUUCAAGUGGUUUUACCUUGUUUUGCUCGAAUUCCACUUCAGAAACUAAAAAGGUGCCACCUUGUGAAACCUAAUCAUGACACCUACUUUUGGUUUGGAAACAUCAUCACAACGUUCAUAGUGUAGAAACGCAACUGGAUUGAAGAAAAGAUGAUUGCAUUUUAUUUCACCCACUUAAAACUUGCCAGUUACUGAAACUGAAAUGCCAGUAAACCCCAUUUUAAACUCCUUUAUAAGUCUGUAAUUAGAACAUAUGAACAACUGAAUAGGAGAGAAAAGACUGAAAAUAUGAAAAUUAAAAAAAAAGUUAUAAUUUGAAAUGUCACUGCUCCUUUCUCUUUCCAUCUUUUAAUACUCUCAUCCAAAGGCGGCUUAAAAUACGUCCUGGGUAGGAGGGGGCCGUGGGAAGCGAGUGACAGCAGCUGUAAAGAUGAAUGAUGUAUGUAGCAGAUGGAGUGUUUCACGACCUGUACCAGCACUCCAUUUAAGUGUGAGUGUAAAAUUGAUGGCCAACAAUAAUUGACCUCCAGCCACUCAGCACCAAAGGCUGUUCUUCCACUGAGGAAAGAAGAGAGUUCCUUUUCUCCAAUUGACACGGGGGGAGCGUUUGAUUUAUGCAACUCUUACAAAGGUUGGCGUAUCAACAUCACAGGCAAAUUCUGGGGGACUUUUUUGUGAGGAGAUAAGAAGAUGGAAGAGGAACAGAUGACAAAGGGCAGGGAUGAUGAGGGCGGAGGAGACGGGUUAGGAAGGGAGAAUAAAUGGGGGAGAUGAUUAGAGGUAACUUAAGGGGAGGCCGCACACAGUGACAGCGGUAAGAAGAAUCUAGGAGUAACAGGGAAAAAAAUGGGAAAAGGGAAAGGAACUGAGAAGAAAAACAACUGUGAGAAGCAAUAGAACAUUAGGAGAAGAAUGGAGAAAUCACUGGAUUUCACUGGAUUUUUGGAUCUGAGUAAAUAAAAGGGCUAUAGACAAGCUACACAAGCAGCAUGCAGACACCAUCAGCCUUGUGGUAAUUUGUCUGCAAACUUAUGCACGUAAGAGGUACAGAAAAGCUUCAGCACUUCGUAUCAAUUUAAGUGCUCCAAUGAGUCAGAGCUCGGGUUGAAGUAGGCAUUGUAGAGGUCGGAGGAUGAACACUCAUUUUGCACUUAAAUCUUCCCAAGAGACCAAAGAGUAUUUUGUUCGAUUGAAUCUGCAGCGCUGUGUUGCAGUGGGUACGUCCCAGCUGUGUUGUGCAUCGUUCUUACACAUUUCAUAGUGCGCGACAAUUGGAAAUCGGCUCAUGAGGGUUUUUUGUUUCUACGCAACAGCGGUGUUUGUUCGGUAAUAAUGGCCCUGGGGCAGGCUCGUCAAGGUCUAAGCGGUUAAACCGAUAAAGCAAAUAGCAACGUCUUCUUGGAUCUUUUCAAAACGGCAAGGCCGAUAAAAAAUGUUGAUACAAAAAAAUGACACUAAAUAUAUUACUAUAUUACUCUGCAGCUGCGCAUGGCUGUGAGUCCCAGGAAACUGCCUGUGGUUAGCUCACGUGUAAUAACAGCACGAGCGUCUAGUGUUCUUUAAUUGGACUGCCAGAAUGCGUGGUACAGCGCAAGUGACCGGCUCGUUAAUCAACGACACGCCAACAUGCUGAGCUACAACAAAAAUGUAAUGUUGACUUAAAAGAGAAAGGUGUUUGUGUUCUGCCCUCAUUGUUCUCAGUGGAGUGUGCUGGAAGUGAUGCAAUGUUGCUCCGCAGUGCUUUAUGUGAGUACAAUAAUAGGUUAUAUAAUUUAUAUUUAUAUAAUUUAAUUUGGCCUUGUGUGCUCUGAUUAAUUGGGAACGCAAUCAAGACAGUUGAGCUGUCAUUAUUUAGGCAUUUUUAAAGUUGUUUUGGAAGAGGAAGUAACUGCAUUUACUGGCAUUCCAGCUUUAAAAAAAGCACACUAUCUCCAUAAAUAUAUGCCGUGUCAUUGGUGUAACUCAUGUAGAUGUUAAGGAGGUUCUUGUUUUUAAUGGAUAAUAUUUGAAGUUGCAUUAAAUGUGGGAAACAUUUAGUCUGAAGUGACUAAUUGGGCAGUUUAAUGUGUUAGAAAAGAAAGGAUGCCAAAUCUUUUGAUGGAAAUAAAAGUUUCAGCCUACAGAGGGCUUAAUUAUAUAGACAUGCAAAAAAUCAAAGGGAAAAAAUGAUGUGUCCAUCUUGCCAAAGUUCAAUUUCUGCACUUGUGAAAUGCUUCUCAUUCUCCUGUGUGGACCACAUGUAUGCAUGUGUGCAUGCUUGACCACGGGUCGGCAGGCUCCUAAUGAGACGACGGAUUGUGUCUUCAAUGUCCUCUCAGAUCUGUCUAAGGGCAUCAGUGAACUCCUGUAAAGUCUGAGGAACAACCUGGCGCCAUCUGAUAACAAAACUGAAAUAAUGUCCCAGAGGUGUUCUAACAAGUUUAGGUCAGGUGAUCGUGAGGGACAUUCAACUAUAUCAAUGCCUUCAUCCUCCAGGUACUACCUGCAUACUCUUGCCACAUAAGGCCGGACAUCGUGCAUCAGCAGGAACCUAAGACCUACUGCACUAGUGUAUGGGUUGAAGGAUUGUGUAGACUGUAAAGGUGUUUCCGUCCCUCCAUGGAUACGCCUCACCACUCAGCCAGGCACGCUGAACCAUGGUGCAGGCAGCAGAGCGUUCUCCUUGCCUUCUCCAGACCCUUUGACGUCUAUCACAGGUGCUCAGGGUGAACCUUCUCUUAUCUGUGAAAGUCAUAGGGCACCAGGGGCGAACAUGCCAAUCCUGGUGUUCUAUAGAAAAUGCCAAUCAAGCGCCACAGUGCUGUGCACUGAGCACUGGGCAAUCUGCAGGACGUCGCACCCUGAGGCCGCCCUCAUGAAGUCGGCUUUUGAUUGUUUGGGCAGAGACAUUCACACCAGUGGCCUGCUGGAGGUCAUUUUGUAGGGCUCGGCCAGAGCUCAACCUGUUCUUUGCACAAAAGGGGGGUUGAGGACCUUCUAGAUCUCCUAGAAUUAACUGCCUGUCUCCUGAAAUGUCCUUGCAAUAGCACGCGUGGAUGUGCCGCCCUGGAGGAGAAUACCAAUAUAUGCAACUAUUGCUGGCUUAAGGUGAUAAUGACUCUAGCUGAAGCCAACGCUAGUGGAAAACCAGUCAAGAGAUUAAAAGGGAGAAACUUGAAAUUGGCCUCGACAGACAAAACCAGUCCUGAUUUGGCGUUUGUCUCAUUGUCCCCCAUCUAUUGCACCGGUUGUUAAUUCCAUCAACACUAAUGCAGCAGAAACUGAUUAACAACCACUUAUGGUACUUACCUGACCAGUAUCAGAAGAAUUCAAUUCAAGAAUUCAAUUGAAAGUCUGCAACUUCUGUCAGAACAACGGAUUUUGCGGGCCUUGCUAAGAAAAGAGACGCAAGACCGACGCUGUGUGCACGGAGGGGAGGGACUGUGUGUGUGUGUGUGUGUGAUGCGUGAGGUGGUAAUGCGCGGUGAUGCAUUGUCGUUAGUCGCGAGCGUGUGUGCCUGCUAAUCGCCCAAUAAUUGGAUGUGAUGGCGGGAACGUAGGUCGGGAUGAUGAAUUGCCGGCAGCAGCAGGUUGGAGACGGACGCCCCAAGUGCCAAGUUGCUGAGUGUGUUUGGGUUUUCCUUGCUGGUCUUACACACACAUACACACAAACGCGCAAAACUCCAUCCCACGCAUGACUUAAAGGCACACAUUGGCGUGGUUCAUACCCGCUUCGAUAUGAGUGCUACAGGAAAACUGCCACAUUCAAACAUAGCACAUACGAGAAUAUGUGAGAUUGAGGGGAAGAAGUGGAGCCUUAGGGGACAAACACACACACAUACAGUCACUUGGGAGAGUCAAAUGGGAGAGUCACAUGGGAGAGGCAUUGAAAGCGAGCUCAUGAGGUGCAGGCGGGUAGCUAUGCAGACCGCCGGGAGAAGCUCGCCUAAUCUACUCUCAGUGGGAAGUGGUAGUCACACUGGUUCAGUCACUAAGGAGGGGGGGGAAGGAUUCUCCAUUGUUCCUAUGAUGUUACAUGCACUUCAUUGGCAGCACCCCCCCACCCCCCCCCACCCCUCGGGUGUCGUCCCGCAGAGUGGAGCUCUAUAAAACUGAUGAGAACGACACUUCCACUUAACGCAGACAAUUUAUCCAACUGAAUCUUACAGAAACUUAUCAGGCUCUCUUUCCCCCAACUGGAAAAGGUUGGGGGAAAGAGAGGAGAAGAAUCUCCCCAAGGAAAAGUUAGGUCACUUAUACAUAGAAUUUGCCUCAGAGCUACUCGCUUAUGAGAGAAAACAAUUUAUCAGCGUGAACAGCACACAGUGCAAAUGGAACAUGGCUCACAUGCUACCAUUCACUUCGCUUCUCUUCUCUGUACUAAUAACAAACAAACAAAAUAAGAAGUCUACAGGUACUACAGCAUUGGAAACAUGAACAUUUAUGAUACAAACAUUUCAUUGAGGAAGGGUAGAGUAGAAGUGAACAAAGAUAACCACUGGAUUAAUCUAGGUUGGAGUUUAGUUUAGUUGAACUGCACUAUAACAACAGAUGUGAGAAGGAAGACAAACUACAGUGAGAUUAAUAAAACACUAUGAAACUUGAUAAAACCAACUGAUAUACAAUAACAAGAAAAUAUAACAUAUAGAAAAGUAAUGAGGUUCUUGGUCAGCCAACCCUACUAAAGUUUGUUAUGAAAACAAAUUAGAAUUAAGAUGUGUAACUGCAUUCAGCAACAGCUGUGCAGACAGAUAGCACUAACAGAUCACAUAGAGAAAUGAAAUGAGAGUGCAGUUUAUUAAACUCGGAUUAUAAGAAAAAACAGUGAGGUGACUUCUCUACAAAGCAAAUAGUUAAUUGCUUCUAUGAUGU
ensembl:lncRNA